UGGGUGAGGAAUUUCGCGCGCCAAGCCCUGGUUUCCGGUGAUCCCAGAAGGACAAUUUAGCGUGACAAACUCUGGAGCGGAUCUAUGCCGCACACGUGACCUGGAGUUCAGCUGACAGCUCUGCACGUGACGUCACCCGCGCUGGGCCACACCCCAAAUUACGCUCCAGGCAGCGGAGUUGUAUGCGACUGUAACUACACAGAGAAGAACCGUCUAGUGGAGUAAAGUCGGACCGGUGUCCAGCAGCAUCUAGCCAGGCAAAAUGUCUACUCCUGGAACUUCAGCCACAGGUGAUCCUGGAAACAGGCGCCUGCAGCAGACUCAAGCGCAAGUCGAUGAGGUGGUUGAUAUUAUGAGAGUUAAUGUGGACAAAGUCCUGGAGAGAGACCAGAAGUUGUCUGAACUUGAUGACCGGGCAGAUGCACUGCAAGCUGGCGCUUCCCAGUUUGAGACCAGUGCUGCAAAGCUUAAAAGAAAGUACUGGUGGAAAAACUGCAAGAUGUGGGCAAUAUUGAUAGCUGUAGUUCUGGUUAUAAUCAUCAUCAUCAUUGUGUGGAGCGUCUCCUAAUCUUCCGGGAUACGGAUCCUAACUGAAGCCAAACCAGUUGCUGCAGUUUCUUUCUUUUUUUUUUCUUUUUUUUUAAUCUCCGAACCUGCUGUAUUUGAGAGUUUAUAUUCCAGCUCAAGGAAAAAAUGUUUUAGUUUAAUAUUUCUUGUUCAUAGUUAAGUGCCUUAAAUGAAACCUAAAACACAUCUUAUUUAAUACCAAACGAAUGGGCACAAUGAGCACUUUGCACUGUGUCUUUAAACAGAGUUGAAUGUGAGUGUAUUAACAUUUUCCCGCUUAAAUUCUUACUGUUCUCUUUAAUUGCCCUCUGCAGAGAAAAACAGAUUGUGUGCUUAGCACAUUGUCAAGGACUUUGCAACUUGGUGGUUUCUGAACUAAAACUCCCAGCAGCCUUCUGAAGCAACUGGAGCCUCACAAUAUGCAAAUCUGUGAACUGUAUGAGAGCCAAGCAAAAAUCUAACAGUGAAAAGUAAUAAAAUUAUAUAUAAUUUAAAUGGAGUGCCAAGAGGUAAAACCUUUCUCAGGUAUUUGUAGAAACAAAGGGAAAUAUGUGCCCUAUUUUUAAUCGAUAAUACAAUCUAAGAACUAACCCACAGCAACCAAUAAGACGUUUGCAUUUAAACAGGUGACCUGUACAUUCUACCUGCUGAUUGGUUGCUAUGUGUUACUGCACCUAGGCAAAGUUAAUGCUUUUUAGUACAUAACACCAUUUGUCUUCUAAACUUUGCUCUAUGAUUACCUUGGUGGCCUUUAUUAUGAUCCCCAUGGGGAGAACAGAACCUUCCUGCAUGUUUUACAAAUGAAACAUCUUAAAAAAAAUCUACAAUAGAAGUUAAAGGGUGAAUUGCUAAUUUGUAGAUCAUUAACCUAAUGAAAUUAAAUCUUACAAGCAAUUAGAGGAGACACCCCAUCACACAUUGUGCCUUAGGUUUCUGCAGGCAGUCUUCGUUGUGUAUUACAUUCGUAUAGGGUGCAAAUAAACCAAUGCUCAUAAUCCUGCUCUGAAAUCUCGAUUUCUCCUUAAUAUUGUUGUGGCUAGGGCUCAGUGGGCCUCAUUAAUGACACUGGGGACGUAUUUACUAGUGUGAUAAACCCAUGGCAAUCAAUUUAAAAUGAUUGUUUCACUGUCUAUUGUGGAUAGAAUAAUGAAAAUAAAUCUUUUGCUGUGGGUUACUGCAGGGGGCAAAUACCAAUGUUAAUACAACCCAGUGUGUUUUUAUUAAACUAUUUAGUAACUGCAUUAUUUCCUAGCCCCUGUUCUAUAAUCUUAGCAACAACCCCACUCCAUUUUGCUUUCCGGUGUUUUUAUGGACUGUACUGCUAAUCCUUCUGAAUGGGCAAGAUAUGUAGCUUUCAGAUACAUAGCCAGUUAACGCUUUCUUUAAAAACAUAGAAAACAAUGUUUUAAAUGAACUCGUUUGUUUUAAUGUGCAGCUAGUUGGGAGUUUGUUGUGAGCUGGAGCUCUACAAAUCUGGAGAACUUAUGGUUGUUUAUUGGAUGAACUUAUUGGAUCCCUGUAGUAGGAGGAUUUUGCAGCUAUUGGGUUGGCACUGUGCAGGGUCAUGUGUUCAGAUACUUGAAGCCUUGCUGUAACAUAAGCAAAUGUUAGAAAAGGGGGGUUUGAUCUGAAAAACUCCAGAAAGCCCUGAUUUAGUCAGCCUCAUAGUGUAUGUAUAAUUAAGUGCACAUACAGGGCUCAUGCGUGCUUCAGAUCCUCAUUAAAUUUCACUGUCCCACUACAAUAACACUACAAAGGUUGCAUAAAAUAAAAUUGCAGCACAUUGCAUCUUUGGAGCCAUUGUUCAAGUCUGAAUGCAUAGGUGCAUAAACCCAUCACAUUCUCAUAGAGGGAAAGUUGCAACAACUAAUAUUGUAUGAAGCUGGUUUGCGCCUAAAAUGAGCCCAUAACAUUGUUUGCGAAGAUGGAAUAUUUACAAAUGUGUGUGUUUGCCCCAUUAUUUGUCCAGCCAAAUAUUGGAUUCUGUAAUAUGGUAUCUGUAUUUGAUAACCGAUCAUUAAGCUUCUUCUGCACCUGGCUUUGUAUUUUCUGUUAAUAUGCACUGCAGCUUUAAGUGCUGCUCUGUAGAGCUCCAUAGUCUAUUACAUUUGGAUUUUGCCUUUGGUUUAAGCAGGAAUGUUCGAUGCACAGCUGUCUAGGCAUACUGAUCUUUUUGUCCCAGCUUAUUCAUGCUGAGGGACAACUUGUACUGCAUAGCAACUGUUUGAGUUUGGCACCAGGCUAAUUAUAUGUUGCACAAGAACUGUGAGUUCAAGAAAAACAUAUAUAUGCAUAGCGAGACUGGUUAAUCCAGUUGUUACAUGUAUUACAGGAAAAGUGCCAGCCUGCCUCUGUUUGCAGGGAUAUCACAUAAGCAGAUGCUAGAUGACUCCUUUUGCCUUUGUAAAUAGCUUACUGUGGGCUUUCCAUUUGCACCAGCCAUUAAUACCAUUUGACGCUGCCAAAGUUAAGGUGGCCAUACAUGGAUAGAUCUGCUCAUUUGGCGAUGUCGCUAAACGAGCGGAUCUCCCUCCGAUAUGCCCACCUUGAGGUGGGCAAUAUCGGGCUGAUCCGAUCGUGGGCCCUAGGGCCCAACGAUCGGAUCCUAGCGUUCGCAAACGGGCGGUCGGAUCGUGGGACCGCAGCAACGAACAGAUGCGGCCGCGAUCCGACGGGAUUUUUAAUCCCAUCUGAUCGAGAUCUGGAAGACUUUCGGCCAGAUCUCGAUCGGGGAAGCCCGUCGGGGGCCCCCAACACGGGCCAAUAAGCUGCCGACUCGGUCUGUCUGCAGCUUUUAUCAGCCAGUGUAUGGCCACCUUUAGUGUUCAUUUAAAUCCUUUCGUGCAGCAACUAGUUGUAUUUUACCAGUUCAUUUCUAUGCCAGUUCAUUUCUAAGUAGCUGGAGGUUUUUUUGUUCGUAUGGUGGAACGAUAUAUAUAUAUUUACAGCCAAAAUUGCAACCCCCUGUCGAAAACUGUAUUUCAGCUUAAAACAAGUAGCAGCUACAGAUCUUUGGUUGAACGACACGGAUAAGUGUAAAGUCUCCAGGAUACACAAGCUCUUGCCUAUUUCUAGAUUGACAAAUACAAGUGUUCUGGAGCCAGUGAAGCUGUUGGCUCCUUGUUGCACUGCUGUGGUCCUUUUCUUUCUUGCUAUGUACGCAAGGUUAUUGGGUUCAUUCUGUCUAGGUUGAGCCCCAAUAUAAAUAAAACCCAGUUAACUAUAAUAUUGCUUUGUCAUUUAGGCUAUAUUGCCACAUGUUUUUGCUCUACAAGUGACCUUCUUUCUAAAAGUGCCUUCCGCAAAUAUCCAAUGUGCCUAUUGCUAAUCGUAAAUACCACUGACUCUGACAGUAACGAAUGCUUUUCCAGUUUCUAAAUCAAAGUGCCACGGCUUAACCGAAUCCGAUGCUUUGUAACCAAAACACAAGAUUUAUACCAGUUUCUAAAAUGCAGCUUUGCUCGUAUAAACCAUUACAGAUGCUGGCACUGACCCAAUUAACAAUAGGGAAAAGCAGUCUCAACACAUUUUGAUGCUGGAAGCUUUAAUUCUGCAAAAGCUGGAGCAACAAAAGUGGCCCGCCUGUGGUUUAGUGUCCCUUGUAAUAGUGGCAUUGAACGGUGUCUGUGGAGUGGCAUUUGAUGAGGCAAAUCUUGGCUUCAAGUGUCAGUAUUUAUUUGUGUCGAGGACAUAAUAAACAUUUAUUGACAUUCAUAUGUAAGUCUGACUCUUUGAUGGUUCUGUAUCAUGUGUGGUAUUUGCCUACAGCAUAUCCUUGUUACUUCCAUUUAUUAUCCCUAAAACUUUUUCUGUCUAACUGAUUGUUUUGUACACUGUGCACUAACACAAAUUUACUGUACAAUUGAAUAAAACAGUUUGUCAGUA